AAACAAAUCUUCAGGAAUUUUUUCUGUAAAAUAUCCAGAUGAGAUAAGUAACUGCUGGCAACACCUCCCCAACCUAGGAUUCCAUACGAUAAUCUAGACUCGACCAAUGCAUGGUACAGGAUUUUCAUUUGGUGAUUGAAAUCGGGGAGAUGAGAUGAGUAACAAGAAAAAGGUUUUUCCAGGAUGUGUCUUCAUA